GACGAACGCUGGCGGCGUGCUUAACACAUGCAAGUCGAACGGAAAGGCCCUGCCUUUGUGGGGUGCUCGAGUGGCGAACGGGUGAGUAACAGGUGAGUAACCUGCCCUAGACUUUGGGAUAACUUCAGGAAACUGGGGCUAAUACCGGAUAGGAGCUCCUGCUGCUUGGUGGGGGUUGGAAAGUUUCGGCGGUUGGGGAUGGACUCGCGGCUUAUCAGCCUGUUGGUGGGGUAGUGGCUUACCAAGGCUUUGACGGGUAGCCGGCCUGAGAGGGUGACCGGCCACAUUGGGACUGAGAUGCGGCCCAGACUCCUACGGGGGGAAGCAGUGGGGGUUAGUGCACGAUGGGCGGAGUCCGGAAGCAGCAACGCCGCGUGCGGGAUGACGGCCGUCGGGUUGUAAACCGCGUUCGCCUGUGACGAAGCGUGUGUGACGGUAAUGGGUAAAGAAGCACCGGCUAACUACGUG
rnacentral:rRNA from 1 species